rnacentral:rRNA from 1 species
UACGUAGGGUGCAAGCGUUAAUCGGAAUUACUGGGCGUAAAGCGUGCGCAGGCGGUGAUGUAAGACAGUUGUGAAAUCCCCGGGCUCAACCUGGGAACUGCAUCUGUGACUGCAUCGCUGGAGUGCGGCAGAGGGGGAUGGAAUUCCGCGUGUAGCAGUGAAAUGCGUAGAUAUGAGGAGGAACACCGAUGGCGAAGGCAAUCCCCUGGGCCUGCACUGACGCUCAUGCACGAAAGCGUGGGGAGCAAACAGG